rnacentral:rRNA from 1 species
UACGGAGGGUGCAAGCGUUAUCCGGAUUCACUGGGUUUAAAGGGAGCGUAGGUGGGUUGGUAAGUCAGUGGUGAAAUCCCCGAGCUUAACUUGGGAACUGCCAUUGAUACUGGGUGUCUUGAGUAUGGAAGAGGUGAGUGGAAUUCCGAGUGUAGAGGUGAAAUUCGUAGAUAUUCGCAAGAACACCAGUGGCGAAGGCGGCUCACGUGGCCCAUUACUGACGCUGAGGCACGAAAGCGUGGGGAGCAAACAGG